CUUGGCUGCUACAGCACAGAUUCUUGUGCCCCUCCACCUCCCACCAGCACUGAGCAAUGCUACCAGUGACAGGAAACGCACUUGGCCUUCCAGACAAGUCAGAAGAAAUCAGUGAAGGAUCAAUCUACGCAAAGGCAUGCUCACAUCUCAAGAAAAAGUCACAUAUCUACCAUUCAUCUAUCACUAUAAACCAAAAGGCUGACUGAGCAACAGAAGACUUGAAUUUUCCAAUGAAAUCCUACACAAACAUCACCUGAUGUCCUAAGUCACCAGAAGGAUACAGGCAUGAUUUGAUUAUAGAAUUACUGGUCUACUUUCAGCACCUGCCCUGGUACUGAGCUGAGGAACUGGAGUCUGAAGCCAAGGAUAAUAUAUUAUUUUGGCCAUUGGACUUGUGUUUUCCUCUUCUUCCUGGCCUCACAAUGAAUGUGGCAAUGGUGCUCCAUGCCAUAAGAAGGAACUGCAGAUGAAGCUGCUCUGAGACACUUUUAGUUGGUACUCUGGCUAACCUGGAAAGUAGGAAUAAAAAAGUUUGCUCUUGGUUAUAUUUGUGCCCU
rnacentral:lncRNA from 1 species